GUUUCGUUAAUGUUCAUUAAUUUUGUAUAAAUUGGUAAGAUAAAAGUCAACGAUUGAAACUAGAGGAAUAAUAAUAAGUAUAGAAGAAGAAAUAUAAGGCAAUAAAGAGAAUAAGAUGGAUCUUUGAAUCCUUCGGGGAUUUUCCAACUCGGGACGUUUAAUUCCAGCGUUCGAAAUUAUUAACACGCAUGCGCAGUACGUUCAAUACACUAUUGGUUCAACUCCCACCAUUCGUACUGUUAGCGAAUUUCCGUACUGACUCGGUUCUGUUCCACCGUGACGAGUUCAGUUAGCUGCCGCGUUUCAACCGGUUAGGAUACUAUUGGUAAAUUUACUAAUUUUUCUCUCGCGUUUCAUGCAAUCUCGUAAUUGUAAUUCACAUAUCACAUUAUUUCUCAUUCGAUUUCGUUAUAAUAUACUAUUGUCUUUUUUAAAUAGAUGAACAAAUUAUUAAUCAAUUUUUGUAUUAUACACUUGUCAUUUCUUUUUGGUGAAAUUCAUUAUUUCGAAGAGAAAGAGAAACGAAAAUGGCGUUAUUAAGAUAUCGAAUAAUCGAUGAUCGAGAAGUUGGAUCGAAACGUUUUAUAAAGCAUACAAGUUAAAAAAAGGAAAGAUAUUUAUCGAUGACUAUGAUCGUGAUGAGGAUAAUGGUAACUCGGAGAAAGAAUUUAAACCUUUUUCCUUGUCCCGAAAUGUAUGCGGGCAUAGUAUUUUCUUUUCAAAGUCUCUUUUCUUACAUGUGUAGAAAAGGUUUGCUGCAGUACUGGCAAGGGUACCGCAAUAAAGAAAAAAAAGAAUAAGAAAGGGAAAAAAAUGUGAGGAAAGGCAGGAGUGGGAGUGGGAGUGGGAGUGGUGGAAUUGGGUUGGUUUUAAGAAGAAGAAAAAGUGGGUGGAGGGUGGUAUGCAUAUAAAACCACUUCCAAAAGUGAGAGGAAAGGUACUCUACAUCUUUCCUGAAUUUUCUUAUUUCCACUUGGUACAGCCCUUCUUUUCGCAACACCUGGAUUCUCGAGAGGAAAAGAAAGAGAAUGAGAGGAGAGUAAAAAGAGAAACGGGGGGAAAAAGGGGGGGAAAGGACACAGCAUGUAAACACAAACUCUGAGAGUUUCUCUGAAGUAGCAAGCACUAGUGCGUUUCUUGCAA
rnacentral:lncRNA from 1 species